rnacentral:rRNA from 1 species
UAGGGAAUCUUCCACAAUGGACGAAAGUCUGAUGGAGCAACGCCGCGUGAGUGAAGAAGGGUUUCGGCUCGUAAAACUCUGUUGUUAAAGAAGAACAUAUCUGAGAGUAACUGUUCAGGUAUUGACGGUAUUUAACCAGAAAGCCGCGGCUAACUACGNGCCAG